rnacentral:misc_RNA from 1 species
CCACUACUUUUUUUUUUUUUUAGGCAUAAUACCUUUUGACAGUGUCAGCAUUCACGGUUCUUGGAAAUUCUUCACCAUCCAUAUAAGUCAAGAUCAAGGCCCCACCAAAAAAUGCCUUUUUAACCACGUAGGGUUCCUCAUAAGUUGGCGAUCAUUUACCCCGGGUGUCGUUUUUGAUUUGGAAGCAACUUUUUCAGGACCAGAUCUCCUGGUUGGAAUUCGCGCGGGCAAACGCCUUUGUUAAAUGCCCUAGCCAUUCUUCUCUGGUAUAAUUGCCCAUGACAUGCUGCUGUUAAUCUUUUCUC